UAGAGUUUGAUCCUGGCUCAGAUUGAACGCUGGCGGUAUGCUUUACACAUGCAAGUCGAACGGUAGGCUUGCUCUAGUUAGUGGCGAACGGGUGAGUAAUAUAUCGGAACAUAUCCGGAAGUGGGGGAUAACGUAGCGAAAGUUACGCUAAUACCGCAUAUGCCCUGAGGGGGAAAGGGGGGGAUCGCAAGACCUCUCGCUUUCGGAGUGGCCGAUAUCGGAUUAGCUAGUAGGUGAGGUAAAGGCUCACCUAGGCGACGAUCCGUAGCUGGUCUGAGAGGACGACCAGCCACACUGGAACUGAGACACGGUCCAGACUCCUACGGGAGGCAGCAGUGGGGAAUUUUGGACAAUGGGGAAAGCCUGAUCCAGCCAUACCGCGUGAGUGAAGAAGGCCUUCGGGUUGUAAAGCUCUUUCAGCCGGAAAGAAAUCGCACUUCUUAAUACGAAGUGUGGAUGACGGUACCGGAAGAAGAAGCACCGGCUAACUACGUGCCAGCAGCCGCGGUAA
rnacentral:rRNA from 1 species